AUUAUUAUUAUUUAGAAAGGUCAAGUGUACACUAUUCUUCAGAAAAUAUAAAAGUGGCAAUAAAAUUGAAGCAUUAUUAUGAAAUUAUAUUUAACAAUUCUAUAGGUAAGUAUUGAAAAGUUUGAUAACUGACAUUCUUAUUCAUCUAAAGUUGUUCAAAUUAUAAAAUACCGCAAUUUGAAAAUAUCAUCCCCGCAGGAUGAAAUCACCGGGUUUGCUCGCAAACAUGCAAGAAGACUGGAGCUACACACUAAUACAGCUGCCAUACAACUCCUCGGCAACUCGCGGGACAUCAGACCGACUCAAACGACUGAAGCCAUUUGACUUAGUCUAAUUAUUAGAUUAAGAGUAGAGAAUAGAGAAUAUUUUUCUAGGUAUUUUAAUAUGCAUAAUACUAAUAUUAGAGUUACCAUUUAUGAGUUAUAACAGUUAAAAGUUUAGACCAAAGGAAGACCUUUGGAGGAGUAAAGAAGGGUAAUAAAUUACCUAUCUAUAACUCUUCCUUACUCCUCCGGGUAUCUAUUUGAAAAUCAAAAGUAUGUACAUAUUUAAGGUAUAUAGUGCCAGUAAAAAAUUAUUAAAAAUGGUUUUAAAAUGAAGCUUAAAGGAUUCCAUUAUGAGUAGAAAAAACAGAAAUCAAAUUAACUUGAAAAACUCUCGAGAUAAUUGUUGAUAUAAAAUAAAAAAAUCAUCCUAAAAUCCUUGAACUACUUUUAAAUGUAACUUUUGUCACUGAAUUUGAAUAUAAUAUAUACUCUAUAUUUCUUGUUAUAUUUUAUUAUUUAGAUACUAUUGUAGUUAUUUUAAAAGUUAAAAAACCAAACAAAUUUAAUAAAAAAAGAUUCUUACGAAAUAAGGAAUACUAAUAUUUCCAGACAAUUUUGGAAUUCAUAUAAGCGGGGUUAUUGAAUUGGCUUCUUUGACAUUUAUUUCAUAAAUACAUUGGUUAUCAAAAAUGUUCAAAACAUUAAAUAAAUAAUAAAUAAUUUAAAAUAUAAAUAUUAAAUUACAUAAAAUAUUAUUAUAAACAAUUUAAUAUAUAAAUAUUAUUUAGUAGGCCUAAAUUUGUUAGCUAGUGCUUGUAUAAUGUAUAUAUAUAUAUAUAUAUUUAAAUCUGGAUAUUACACCAAAUUUUUAUACUAAUUUCAGUAUUGUUUGAACACUAUGUAAAACAUUAAAGAAAUUGUAAAUAUUUGAGUUUGGUGAAUAAACUUAAGAAUUAAACUUAGAAUUUAAAGAUUCACAUGAAUUUAUUUUCCUUAUUCACUUUUUGUGUUUUUGAUUGAAUACUCAAUAAUUAAAACUGUAUUGUACAAUAUCAGAUCCAAUUAAUUUUAAGCACUCAGUAACUUAAUAUAGAAAUACCUAAUAUAGUUAAAUUGUAAUACGCUUAUCCAAUAAUUUUUAGUAAUAAUCCGGCAUUGUGUUGAAAAAAAAUUAGGUAAUAAAUAGGUACUUUUUCUAUUUUGAAAUAUAUUUGUUGAAAAUAUUAAAAGGAGCCAAUUCAAUGGUUGCCCAUGUAAGUUUAUUGACAUAAUCAAAAGGUGUGUUAAGUCACAGCCAAAGUGAUCUCUGAUAACAGAAUUGGUUAAUUUGACUGCUGCCCAAAUGAAAAUCGAAUAAACAGCUGGAUUCGUUAUUAUUUCUUGUUUUCUGGUCAUUUUUAAAAAGCAUUUUUUCAUUUGUUCAUCAUAAAAAAUUAAUUAAUCACCAUUUAAAAUAGAUUUAAUGAAGUGAAACAUUAAAGGAAUACAAUAUUUUGUAAUUAAUAAUAUCUUAUCAGCGACUGGCUGUCACAAUACUGUUUGAUACACUGUUCAAGAAGCUAUGUAGUUCAGACAAUACCAAUAACACAAUUAAAACCAUUUUGGUCCUGGGUUUGGCUAAUUAGGUUAGCUUAAUACUUGUACACAAAAAAAAAGACCAUAAUAUGCCAAGAGGAUGCUAUACCUGCAUGUACUAUCUCAGUCCAACUAAUGAACAAUAUAGCAAAACCUGCCUCUCACAGACUGCGUAGAACUCACUUAAUUUUGGUUUUAGAGUAAAAAAUGUAAAAGUUAAAAAAGUUAAAACAGAACAGAAAUAUUCUGGAGGGUAAGACAGUGCAUUUUUUUUUUUUUAAAUUAAUUUUUAAAAUAUUACAGUAAUUUAAAAACAAUAAUUUAGUCUUAAUUUGUAAACACUAUAUAGAAUGUUAUAUCCAGUAUAAUAAUUAGAAUAAUAAGAAAAACACAUAAUCAUACCCUCCUGAAUAUUAUCCUCUUAGUUUAAUUCUAAAACUAAAAUUAACUAAGUUCUAUGCAGUCUGUGUAAGGUAGAUUUUGCUACCAGUCCAACUAACAGACUAUAUAUAUAAGUUACUAGAAAAAAUUAUUUUUCUAUAUUAUGAAUAUAUCAAUCAAAUAGUCAAAAUAUUUCUUAAUAUAUUCUAUAAUAUAAUUUGUUUUAUUAUUAUUAUUAUUUUUUUUUUUUAUGGUAAUUUUGUAAUAUCUUAUUAACAUUUCUGUACCCAGUGAUUCAUUUAAGUGUGUACAAUCAUUAUCUUGAAAAGAAUUAAUUAUUUCAGAAUUUGUUACAGAAUAUUUAAGAAACAAGUUGCUCUUCAAUUUUAUAUUUAUGUUUUUUUUUCAUCACCCUUAUGUUUGGGGGUAAAACUACUACCUACUUUUGAUUUUCAAAUAGCAAACUAUAUAAAACUUACAAUAAUAGAUGGAGUAUUAGUUAAAAUAAAUUUCAGUAUUAAAAAUUUUUAUUUCUGUCAAGUCAUUGAUGAUAUAUUUGGCUUUUAAGUUUGGGUUGGAGGAGAGUAGUGGAAUGUCAUUUGUGUGCAGUAUGUUAUUAAUGCACUACUACUCUCCUCCAACCCAAACUUAAAAGCCGAAUAUAUCAUCAAUGACUUGACAGAAAUAAAAAUUUUUAAUACUGAAAUUUAUUUUAACUAAUACUCUAUCUAUUAUUGUAAUUUUUAAUAUAGUUUGCUAUUUGAAAAUCAAAAGUAGGUAGUGGUUUUACCCCCAAAAUAAGGGUGACAAAAAAUAGCAUAAACAUACAAUUUUAGAGCUGUUUGUUUCUUAAAUGUUCUAAAAGAUAAAUUCCAAAAAAAGUUAAUACUUUCAGAGAUAUUGAGUGUACCUACUUAAAUGAAUCACCUGGUAUAUUAAAUCAAAACUUAAUUUACUAUCAUUUAAAGUAUUUAAAAAAUGGAGUAUUGCACUAAAUUUUUUUUAAUAUAACUUGAUACAGUAAUUACAUAAAUUUAAAUAAAUUAACAUUUUAUCAUUUUAGAAAAUCCUAAUAAUAUUGGCCACAUAGAGAACAUGUAUUAUGUUUUCGGUUAUUUCACUAAUAAUAUUUCCUAUACAUGUUUUUAUAAUGCAAUAAUUAAAGUAACAAAUAUUUUAUUUAAAUUUUAUUUAACUCACAAAUUUGUUUCGCUAUGUUGGGUGUAUGUUAGUUAAAGACAACUGAGAUAGAUACUUCAGCACCUUAAAAUAUAAAUACUAAUGUAGUUAAUAAAACUGUUAAUCAUUUUUUUUUUUAAUGAAUUUUGUUUUUCAAAAUUGAAUUAAUUUGACUAAUGUAUUAUUAUUAUUAAAAAUGUUGACAAAAAAUAUGAAAACAUCAUACAGCUCCAACAAAAUUAAAAAUUAGAUUUAAAAUUUAGUUUUUAGUACAAGUUAAAUUAAAUAAGUAGGUUUUUUCAUUAAUAAUAACAAUUUUUUUUUUUGUUCUACCUAUAUGUAACUAAUAAACUUUAAAUAUUUGAAUUAUUAGAAAUAAAAAAUAGGCUUCAAUAUUAUCUUUUAAGAAAUAAUAAUAAUAAAUAUAUAUAUUUUUUUAAAGUAAUUUUAAAUUCUUAAAAAUUGUAUUCUUAGUUAUAAUAACAUAUUAGUUAAAAUUUGUUUAAGAAAAAGGUAGAGUUUAUUGUUACUAUAUGGACAUCUAAAUAAUGGAACAAGUUUUAUUGUGUAUAGUUGUUUAAGUAUCUUUCAAUUUCAUGAAAAUUUAGCUAUUUUGUGUAAUUAUACUAAGUAGAGAAAUAAUAGUUCAAUUUCAUGAAAUGGAUACAAACAUUAUCCAUUUCAAAACCUGGACAAUAAUGUGAAAUAGAUGCAGUAUGUACACAUAAUGUGAAAACUCUUUUUAAGGAAUCUUAAUGGAUCAAGAGAUUACUUUCAUUAUGUAGUUUUCGUAAUAUAGAAGGUUAAAGAACUAAUGUAUGGGUUAUAAAGCAAAUAAACCAUUAUUAAGAAAAUUGUACAGUUAUAUAGAGUUUUCACUGUAUAUACUGUGAUUUACUAAUCAUGCUCACUCCAUUGUUUUGGUUAAAUUUUGCAUGUAUUAACAAAUUCUCAUUUGAAAAACCAAAAUUGGUAUCGCUACUGUAUACCCAAAUGUUGUGAAAAAUUUAAGUAUUCAAAAAUAUCGGCUUCAACUACACUUAUAAAUUCUAACAGUCAAAAUUUUAAUACACUCAAAAUUUAACCAAAAAACUGGAGUGAGCACCACACUUUUUGAAUCACUCUGUAUAAACACUAUAUAGUAAACAUCCUCUAUAUACCUAAUGGCUAAUAUAUCUAUUUGUUGCAGAACUUUUACAUUUUUAUCCACUCGUGGUACUACCUAAACAAAUUUCUUUUCGCAUUGGAAUAAAAUCAAGAAUACACAUUCAACAUGUUGAAUUAGUUGAAAAUGGC